GAGGGUCUAAGAUAAAGUUAUAUAGUCUGCGAAGUUGUCUACUUCGUUGUUUCGUUGGAAGGCCUUUU
rnacentral:tRNA from 1 species